rnacentral:rRNA from 1 species
CCUACGGGAGGCAGCAGUGGGGAAUCUUGCGCAAUGGGCGAAAGCCUGACGCAGCGACGCCGCGUGCGGGAAGAAGGCCUUCGGGUUGUAAACCGCUUUCAGGAGGGACGAAGCCACUCGGGUGAAUAGCCCAGAGGGUGACGGUACCUCCAGAAGAAGCCCCGGCUAACUACGUGCCAGCAGCCGCGGUAAU